UUUAGAAUUCGUAGGCGUCAAAAAAAAGUUUAUAAACAGAGCGUGAAUCCUCUGGACCUGAAAGAAGAAUAAUUCCGGUCGUAGUUUUGGAAAGCAUAUACGAUCUGAUGGGAAGCAUAUAUACGAUCUGAGUCACAUACGAACGAGGAAUAAUUACUAUAACUGUCGAGCGUUGCUUCGGGGUGUGGAAGCAAAGAUUCCGCAUUCUCAAUGAUACGAUGUGAGGAUUCUUCCACGUGAUCAAGAUCACGAUUAUUGCUGGUGCAGUUUUGCACAAUUUAACAAUACUAAUUAAUGAGUAUAUUUUAAAUCAAGAUCCUACAGGCAUUGAAAAUCAAUUAACAAAUCCCUGUCCUACUAACUGUCCCUAAUAAUGUAGAAGAAUAAGAAGAUGAAUGCGAAAAUCAAGGGAAAAUUUAAACACAGUCAUAUUGAAAGUUAUUUUUAUAAUUAAAUGAAUAUUUUCA